GGCUUCCAGUACCCUUGUUCCUGUACUCUGACUGCCUGUCCUUCUGUGAGCUGAGGAGUUGCUGAUUGGUAUUGGGAAGGGUUCAUCGGAGACGGCGACUCAUUAACAGCUGAGCCGGGGACUUAAAACCAUCAACUGGGCAGUUGCGAUAUUCCAGGAGACUGAGGCCAGAACAUGAUGUCACGGGCUCUCUGCUUGCAUUUCUCAAUGCCCAGGUGGCUGGCAUGUACACGUGAUAACAUGUCUGGAUGAAGACUUGUGGGCAUUAUAAUCUUUUCAACUUUGAAGAUCAUUCCAUGCAGGUAUGAGAGCUCAUCGACUUCAUUGACUUCACUCUCAGAGAGGGACUUAGAUGCAUAUGCAACCGGCCUUUCAUUUUGCAGCAAAACUGCCCCAAGCCCGUACUUUAAGACAGGGCCUGGUUCACAUGUGAGCAACUCUUUUACUUUCCUGAAGGCUUUGUCAUGGUGGACAUCCCAGACAAACUCACUAGACUCCUUCAGGAGUUGACGUAAUGGUGCGUUGACAUCAGCAAGGCCAGGUGCAAAUUUAGAGAGAUAAUUGAUCAUACCCAGCACUGUCUCGAGCUCUCCUUUGUCUUUGGGUGGCUCCAUGCUUCUUACAGCAGCGACUUUUGCAGGGUCAGGUUUUACCCCUUCAGUAGUGAGUAGAUGUCCAAAAUAGCUCACCUCUUUCGCACAGAUGACACUUUU